rnacentral:rRNA from 1 species
GAUGAACGCUGGCGGCGUGCCUAAUACAUGCAAGUCGAGCGAACGGACGAGAAGCUUGCUUCUCUGAUGUUAGCGGCGGACGGGUGAGUAACACGUGGAUAACCUACCUAUAAGACUGGGAUAACUUCGGGAAACCGGAGCUAAUACCGGAUAAUAUUUUGAACCGCAUGGUUCAAAAGUAAAAGACGGUCUUGCUGUCACUUAUAGAUGGAUCCGCGCUGCAUUAGCUAGUUGGUAAGGUAACGGCUUACCAAGGCAACGAUGCAUAGCCGACCUGAGAGGGUGAUCGGCCACACUGGGACUGAGACACGGUCCAGACUCCUACGGGAGGCAGCAGUAGGGAAUCUUCCGCAAUGGGCGAAAGCCUGACGGAGCAACGCCGCGUGAGUGAUGAAGGUCUUCGGAUCGUAAAACUCUGUUAUUAGGGAAGAAUAUAUGUGUAAGUAACUGUGCACAUCUUGACGGUACCUAAUCAGAAAGCCACGGCUAACUACGUGCCAGCAGCCGCGGUAAUACGUAGGUGGCAAGCGUUAUCCGGAAUUAUUGGGCGUAAAGCGCGCGUAGGCGGUUUUUUAAGUCUGAUGUGAAAGCCCACGGCUCAACCGUGGAGGGUCAUUGGAAACUGGAAAACUUGAGUGCAGAAGAGGAAAGUGGAAUUCCAUGUGUAGCGGUGAAAUGCGCAGAGAUAUGGAGGAACACCAGUGGCGAAGGCGACUUUCUGGUCUGUAACUGACGCUGAUGUGCGAAAGCGUGGGGAUCAAACAGGAUUAGAUACCCUGGUAGUCCACGCCGUAAACGAUGAGUGCUAAGUGUUAGGGGGUUUCCGCCCCUUAGUGCUGCAGCUAACGCAUUAAGCACUCCGCCUGGGGAGUACGACCGCAAGGUUGAAACUCAAAGGAAUUGACGGGGACCCGCACAAGCGGUGGAGCAUGUGGUUUAAUUCGAAGCAACGCGAAGAACCUUACCAAAUCUUGACAUCCUUUGACAACUCUAGAGAUAGAGCCUUCCCCUUCGGGGGACAAAGUGACAGGUGGUGCAUGGUUGUCGUCAGCUCGUGUCGUGAGAUGUUGGGUUAAGUCCCGCAACGAGCGCAACCCUUAAGCUUAGUUGCCAUCAUUAAGUUGGGCACUCUAAGUUGACUGCCGGUGACAAACCGGAGGAAGGUGGGGAUGACGUCAAAUCAUCAUGCCCCUUAUGAUUUGGGCUACACACGUGCUACAAUGGACAAUACAAAGGGCAGCGAAACCGCGAGGUCAAGCAAAUCCCAUAAAGUUGUUCUCAGUUCGGAUUGUAGUCUGCAACUCGACUACAUGAAGCUGGAAUCGCUAGUAAUCGUAGAUCAGCAUGCUACGGUGAAUACGUUCCCGGGUCU